GGGGGCCCGCAAGCGGUGGAGCAUGUGGUUCAAUUCGACGCAACGCGAAGAACCUUACCUGGGCUCGAAGCGCAGUGGAAUGGGGUGGAAACAUCCCCGCCCGCAAGGGUCGCUGCGGAGGUGCUGCAUGGCUGUCGUCAGCUCGUGUCGUGAGAUGUUGGGUUAAGUCCCGCAACGAGCGCAACCCUUAUCUCUAGUUGCCAUCGGGUCAAGCCGGGCACUCUAGCGAAACCGCCCCGGAUAACGGGGAGGAAGGUGGGGAUGACGUCAAGUCCUCAUGGCCUUUAUGUCCAGGGCUACACACGUGCUACAAUGGCCGGUACAAACCGUCGCAAACCCGCGAGGGGGAGCUAAUCGGAAAAAGCCGGCCUCAGUUCGGAUUGGAGUCUGCAACUCCACUCCAUGAAGCUGGAAUCGCUAGUAAUCGCGGAUCAGCACGCCGCGGUGAAUACGUUCCCGGGCCUUGUACACACC
rnacentral:rRNA from 1 species